rnacentral:rRNA from 1 species
UAUCCUGUCUGAAUAUGGGGGGACCAUCCUCCAAGGCUAAAUACUCCUGACUGACCGAUAGUGAACCAGUACCGUGAGGGAAAGGCGAAAAGAACCCCGGCGAGGGGAGUGAAAAAGAACCUGAAACCGUGUACGUACAAGCAGUGGGAGCCUCUUUAUGGGGUGACUGCGUACCUUUUGUAUAAUGGGUCAGCGACUUAUAUUCUGUAGCAAGGUUAACCGAAUAGGGGAGCCGAAGGGAAACCGAGUCUUAACUGGGCGUUAAGUUGCAGGGUAUAGACCCGAAACCCGGUGAUCUAGCCAUGGGCAGGUUGAAGGUUGGGUAACACUAACUGGAGGACCGAACCGACUAAUGUUGAAAAAUUAGCGGAUGACUUGUGGCUGGGGGUGAAAGGCCAAUCAAACCGGGAGAUAGCUGGUUCUCCCCGAAAGCUAUUUAGGUAGCGCCUCGUGAAUUCAUCUCCGGGGGUAGAGCACUGUUUCGGCAAGGGGGUCAUCCCGACUUACCAACCCGAUGCAAACUGCGAAUACCGGAGAAUGUUAUCACGGGAGACACACGGCGGGUGCUAACGUCCGUCGUGAAGAGGGAAACAACCCAGACCGCCAGCUAAGGUCCCAAAGUCAUGGUUAAGUGGGAAACGAUGUGGGAAGGCCCAGACAGCCAGGAUGUUGGCUUAGAAGCAGCCAUCAUUUAAAGAAAGCGUAAUAGCUCACUGGUCGAGUCGGCCUGCGCGGAAGAUGUAACGGGGCUAAACCAUGCACCGAAGCUGCGGCAGCGACACUAUGUGUUGUUGGGUAGGGGAGCG